rnacentral:rRNA from 1 species
GACGAACGCUGGCGGCGUGCCUAAUACAUGCAAGUAGAACGCUGAAGAGAGGAGCUUGCUCUUCUUGGAUGAGUUGCGAACGGGUGAGUAACGCGUAGGUAACCUGCCUUGUAGCGGGGGAUAACUUUUGGAAACGAUAGCUAAUACCGCAUAACAAUGGAUGACACAUGUCAUUUAUUUGAAAGGGGCAAUUGCUCAACUACAAGAUGGACCUGCGUUGUAUUAGCUAGUAGGUGAGGUAAUGGCUCACCUAGGCGACGAUACAUAGCCGACCUGAGAGGGUGAUCGGCCACACUGGGACUGAGACACGGCCCAGACUCCUACGGGAGGCAGCAGUAGGGAAUCUUCGGCAAUGGGGGCAACCCUGACCGAGCAACGCCGCGUGAGUGAAGAAGGUUUUCGGAUCGUAAAGCUCUGUUGUAAGUCAAGAACGGGUGUGAGAGUGGAAAGUUCACACUGUGACGGUAGCUUACCAGAAAGGGACGGCUAACUACGUG